rnacentral:snoRNA from 1 species
GUGUGAGAUGAUGGCAAUCGUCUUUCUGGACUGACUUGAAGUGAAGAGAACACUCUUGCUGAGCACUU